AGCGAACGUUUGCGGCGGGCUUAACACAUGCAAGUCGAACGAGAAUCCCUUCGGGGAGGAAAGUGGCGCACGGGUGCGUAACACGUGGAUAACCAACCCAUUGGUUUGGGACAACACCGGGAAACUGGUGCUAAUACCAGAUGUGUCGCAGCUGUCUUCAGGCGGUUGCGAGAAAGGCCCGCAAGGGUCGCCAACGGACGGGUCCGCGUCCCAUCAGCUAGUUGGUGAGGUAAUGGCUCACCAAGGCAAAGACGGGUAGCUGGUCUGAGAGGACGAUCAGCCACACUGGGACUGAGACACGGCCCAGACUCCUACGGGAGGCAGCAGUGGGGAAUAUUGCACAAUGGGCGAAAGCCUGAUGCAGCAAUGCCGCGUGUGUGAAGAAGGCCUGCGGGUUGUAAAGCACUUUCAGUAGGGAGGAAACAGUAGCCGGUUAAUAUCCGGUUGCCUUGACGUUACCUACAGAAGAAGCACCGGCUAACUCUGUGCCAGCAGCCGACGG
rnacentral:rRNA from 1 species